GAGUGCUUAUGUUGUUGCGAUGGUGUUCGUGUUAGUCUUUACCCUUGGUGCCUCCAUUCCCAAGGAUGUUCAUGACAAGCUUCGCCCCUGGUGCCUUCAUUCCAAGGGUUGCAUUGUCCCUCCGAAGCCAUUCAGCACUGUUAACCUCUAGUUGCAUUUAAUUUUCAUUUGUAAUUUUGAGUGAGGUAGAGUGUUUGUUUUGAUCCAAGCUUGGAACUUCCAGAUGUUCCAGCUUGAGGGGGAGUGUUGAAUAUUCGGAAACCAUUAUUAAAUAUU